GAUGAACGCUGGCGGCGUGCCUAAUACAUGCAAGUCGAGCGAACGGACGAGAAGCUUGCUUCUCUGAUGUUAGCGGCGGACGGGUGAGUAACACGUGGAUAACCUACCUAUAAGACUGGGAUAACUUCGGGAAACCGGAGCUAAUACCGGAUAAUAUUUUGAACCGCAUGGUUCAAAAGUGAAAGGCGGUCUUGCUGUUACUUAUAGAUGGAUCCGCGCUGCAUUAGCUAGUUGGUAAGGUAACGGCUUACCAAGGCAACGAUGCAUAGCCGACCUGAGAGGGUGAUCGGCCACACUGGAACUGAGACACGGUCCAGACUCCUACGGGAGGCAGCAGUAGGGAAUCUUCCGCAAUGGGCGAAAGCCUGACGGAGCAACGCCGCGUGAGUGAUGAAGGUCUUCGGAUCGUAAAACUCUGUUAUUAGGGAAGAACAUAUGUGUAAGUAACUGUGCACAUCUUGACGGUACCUAAUCAGAAAGCCACGGCUAACUACGUG
rnacentral:rRNA from 1 species